rnacentral:lncRNA from 1 species
CUGUGAGUUAAGCAUUGCCGCAUUUUGUAGCAGGGAAAACCAUAGGGAAAGUAAAGGAGCUUGCUGCAAAUCACACCUUCAGUAGUCAAUGGCGAUGAAACUUGAGGACCUGAUUCAAUUCGCCAAACGAUCUCCAUUCACUGAAGGAGCAAACGGAAGCAAAGAGAGCCAAACGCCCAAAUGAGGUUUCCCAAACUGAUAACAUUAAAGAAACGGUGUCCUACUGAUACUUGGUCUAUAGUUAGGAAGCUUCCCCAAAGUCCUAAGGCACACUUUGGAAUAUUAACCCCUGUUGAUGUAAAGUACCAGGAUCUUGAGUUCACAAGAACUUUAGGAAGCUCUCCUUCACCCCCGGGAGUCAUUGCGAGACCAGAAGGGUCAAGCAACACCAAAUAGCAACAGCCAAGCCUCCGCAAUUUUAAAGAAAGAAAAAAAAUGUGAACAGGAGCAAUGCGUGAAGAAAAUGACCCACCCUGUCCAGGAUUCUAGGCAAAAAAAUAAAUGAAAGAUGGUACUAAGUAGUUGCUGCGGAAUCCUUUCCCCAC